UGGAAAAGUUGAUGCGCCUUUUAAGAAGUGAACAACCAAGUUAUUUGCCUGGAAAAGUCUCCUGAAAUACUGAAGUUAUGCUAAAGAAGGGAGAAGAGAAAGGAAGCUGCAGUCCCUGUAUAACUCCUAAAUUUUUAAUUUGGAGUUCCUCUUCUUCGGUGCAACAAUCUUUCUGCAUGCACAGAUCCAUGUGGCACUCAUCUCAUCAUUCUGAGGGAAGAAAGAUGCAUAGGGAAUGUUGCAUGUGGUUAUUUCUGGCAGAACCCACAGAAAACAAUAAAGCACGAGAGAAAAGAGGAUGGCAGUUUACCCAGGAAACAUAGGUUGUGCAAAGCUUUGCAAUGAUACUCUCAAUUCAGAGCAAUGAAGAACAGAAUGCUGUCUUCCCAUAAUGAUGGCAUUCAAUUAUCACUAGACUUACAAGACUACAGAAAAUUUCUCAAGAACCAGUAAGGAUCAGACAGAGCCAAUGACAAUACUGAAGAAGCUUGCCAGUGGAGAAUGAAAGCUCAGUUACACAAAUUACGUUGUUGAACCAGUGCCAGAAAUAAAAUGUGAUGGACAAACUCAUUAAUUAUGAGCGUGAACCAGACAAAACUGAGAAUAAGGUGGGAAUUCCUUCAUAAUCUGUCCCUACUUAGUUGCACCAUAACCAUAAAUAUUGUAAGAGGCAAAAGAGUGGUAAAAAGCUCAUUAACACUGAGAUUAUUCUUGUUAAUUCAUCUGAAUGAGACCUUAACGUACAAAAUAACUUGAAUUACAGAAAAUGUUGAAAAGUUGUAUUUCUUGCACAUCUAAGAUUGAGAGGGAGAUAUAUGUGUGAAUUGUCACGAAAGGCCAUCUUCAAGAUAUCACAAUCAAUCUGUAGAUUAAGGUCAGCCAAUAUAAUAUUCCAACCUGAACCUUUGAAAACUGAACAGGAGUGAGUAUAAUAAUCUCUAGAAAAGCAUCAGUUAAGAUUCUAGCUUGGCCAUCUCCAUCAUCUGUGUCCUUUAUUUCUAAUAACCUUCAAGUUUUCUAUAUAUGACAUUAUCUUUCCAGUCUCCUCGGAAAAAUUGCUCUUCACUUCAAUUAGUUUGAAUCAGUUUAUUUUGCUUUCCACCAAGAGCUGAAAUUUUUCUAAACCUGCACACUCACUUAUGAAGUCCCUAGAGAUUACACGUUACUUGUGUUCCUUAGUCUUCAUUCCUUGUUCUUAUCCUGUUUACUCUUCUAUGCAUCAAUUCUGUGAGAGGCAAAACCAAUUUUUAUGUGUGUAAAAGGGAAAAAAACAUAUGUGCAUAACUAAUGACUUCUGAAAUUUAUUAUGACAAGAACCCUCCCACUCAGAAGAAUUAUGAAGGCUUGUUGUAAAAAAUAAGAAAAUAAGUCUUUGAUAAUGACAGACAACAAUUAGGUUGCUUGGACUUCAGAAUUUUAUUCUAAAUAAACCUUCUAAACUGAACUUACUACCCCAAACCUUGCCUCAAUCUGCCUGUGAUAGUAAGGUAAGAUUUAUUCAAUUCACCAAGUCAGCUAAGAUCAGGUUAACUCUUGCCUUCUCAAAGUGUCCCACUAUCAAGAUAUCCAAGGUAAUCACACCUCUCCUGCAACAAAAAUUUACAAAUACAGCAAGAAUGGUAUAAGAACAAACAUGUGUCCUUACAUUGGUCCUAUUGUGUCCAGAAUUGGUGGGUUCUUGGUCUCACUGACUUCAAGAAUGAAGCCGCGGACCCUCACGGUGAGUGUUACAGUUCUUAAAGAUGGUGUGUCUGCAAUUGUUCAUUUUUUCCAGUGGGUUCAUGGUCUGGCUGGCCUCAGUAGUGAAGCUGCAGGCCUUCAUCUUUAGUGUCACAGUUCCUAAAGGUGGCACGUCCAGAGUUGUUCGUUCCUCCCAUCCAGAGUUAUUCGCCCCUCCUGGUGGGUGGAUUCAUGAUCUCGCUGGCUUCAGGAGUGAAGCUGCAGACCUUCUCGGUGAGAGUUACAGCUCAUAAAGAUGGUGCAGACCGAAAGAAUAAGCAGCAGCAAGAUUUAUUGCAAAGAGCAAAAGAAGCAAAGCUUCCCCAUCACGGAAGGGAACCCAAGCAGGCUGCCUGGGCUGGCUCGGGCAGCCUGCUUUUAUUCCUUUAUCUGACCCCACUCACAUCCUGCUGAUUGGCCCAUUU
rnacentral:lncRNA from 10 species